GACGAACGCUGGCGGCGUGCUUAACACAUGCAAGUCGAACGGAAAGGCCCUGCUUUUGUGGUGUUCUCGAGUGGCGAACGGGUGAGUAACACGUGAGUAACCUGCCCUUGACUUUGGGAUAACUUCACGAAACUGGGGCUAAUACCGGAUAGGAUCUCCUGCUGCAUGGUGGGGGUUGGAACGUUUCGGCGUUUGGGGAUGGACUCGCGGCUUAUCAGCUUGUUGGUGGGGUAGUGGCUUACCAAGGCUUUGACGGGUAGCCGGCCUGGGAGGGUGACCGGCCACAUGGGGACUGAGAGACGGACCAGACUCGUACGGGAGGCAGAAGGGGGGAAUAUUGCACAAUGGGCGGAAGCCUGAUGCAGAAACGCCGCGUGCGGGAUGACGGCCUUCGGGUUGUAAACAGCUGUCGCCUGUGACGAAGCGUGAGUGACGGUAAUGGGUAAAGAAGCACCGGCUAACUACGUG
rnacentral:rRNA from 1 species